AAAUUGAAGAGUUUGAUCAUGGCUCAGAUUGAACGCUGGCGGCAGGCCUAACACAUGCAAGUCGAACGGUAACAGGAAGCAGCUUGCUGCUUUGCUGACGAGUGGCGGACGGGUGAGUAAUGUCUGGGAAACUGCCUGAUGGAGGGGGAUAACUACUGGAAACGGUAGCUAAUACCGCAUAAUGUCGCAAGACCAAAGAGGGGGACCUUCGGGCCUCUUGCCAUCGGAUGUGCCCAGAUGGGAUUAGCUAGUAGGUGGGGUAACGGCUCACCUAGGCGACGAUCCCUAGCUGGUCUGAGAGGAUGACCAGCCACACUGGAACUGAGACACGGUCCAGACUCCUACGGGAGGCAGCAGUGGGGAAUAUUGCACAAUGGGCGCAAGCCUGAUGCAGCCAUGCCGCGUGUAUGAAGAAGGCCUUCGGGUUGUAAAGUACUUUCAGCGGGGAGGAAGGGAGUAAAGUUAAUACCUUUGCUCAUUGACGUUACCCGCAGAAGAAGCACC
rnacentral:rRNA from 1 species